rnacentral:tRNA from 1 species
GGCCCUGUGGUGUAGCGGUAGCACCGCGGUCUCCAAAACCGGGUGCGGGAGUUCAAAUCUCUCCGGGGUCGCCA